rnacentral:lncRNA from 1 species
CUCUUAUAUUUAGUACUAUAACAAGAUUUAGAAUUUCACAUCGUCUUUUCUGCUGCUUCACAAAGGCAACACACAUUCUGCAAAAAAGUGGUCGUGAUUUGGGCGACUGAAGUACCCAGCAGGGGUGUUGCCGGGAGCUCCCCUUGCUGGGAUGGAUGGAUGGAUGAUGUGCAGCUUCGCACGUAACUCUCUUGAGGGUGCUGCAUGCCGUAUUUUGUGUAUUUAAGGACAAACCUCCAACUUGGCCAUGAGUGACCAGAAGUUAUCUGAAUUUUCAUUCUUUUAUUUCUCUCAUGCAAAGUUUCCUUUUAUAUUCUCAAAGUCGUUUUCGUGGAGGAAGAACAGAAAAAGAAAGUUUUUGUUUGAUUUAGAUUAUGUAUAUUUCUUAGUCUCUUCACAUUUUUUUUUUUUUUUUUUUAUAUAAUGACAGAUUGCACAAACUUGGCAGUGCAUAUGGCGGCCUGGUUUUUGUCAAGUGUCAAACGAACAAGCCGCUGCAUCGCAUCAGUAAGGAAAUGUAUCACUGACACGAGUCCAUUAGAUCUUCAAUGGUCAGGACUUCUUGUCAGCAUGGCAACAGCCAGUACUCUGUUUAUAGAAGAAAUUUGUUUUUAUGGAAGAUGAAUAAUUCAUUGGCGUAGAUGCAGGAAGCGCAUAUUGUUGUAAUAGGAGUGUAACAACUGGUCUUGUGUUCCACAGCAUAUGCCUGCAUCACGAAGUACAAGAUCCACAAAGCCCGCCGUGGCAUAGCGCAGUUUAGCAUUUUCUUUUCUUUUUUUCAGUUUUACCUUUACAUUAUAAACUGGUAAAGAUGGAGAGACCUUUGAUCAUGUGCUGAUUAGCUUUCUCACAGCGAGUAGGUAUUAGUUUUUAUCUAUCAUGAUUUGUAAGAUUAAUCAAAAAGAUCUUUACCGUAUACCAUGGUACAGGACAUCUUGGCUUCUGCUUUCAUUUCUAACGUUACUUAAUCAAAGUCGGCGAAGGCGUUGGGACGUUGAUCUUGCGUUGCUAAGCUGUAUGGUCAGUACUUAGGUUCCCUAUCUGUGACCUUGAUGGUUAUGGGGCUAUUCUCUCAAAUUCUGGGGCAUGGUCACUGCAUUAUCUAGGUUACUACAUUUACGCUUCCUUGUGUUGCCUUGGUAAGGGAAAUAAUCUGCUGCCAUGAGUGUUUCACAGCAUGUUUUAAGUUUCACUGAAGAACAACACUUUUUUUCUACUACUUCUUCAUCUCAAAAAAGAAAUAGAGAGAGAGAGAGAGAGAGAGAGAGAGAUAUUAGUCAUAUAGUCAGGCGAUAACAUCUCACUAUGGUUAAUGGCAUAUGGCAUGACGAUGAGGUUUUCACAUUUCACAGUCUCAGUAUAAGUUAUGUGUCUCGGGUCACGUCCGCACCGCCUCCUCCCUUCGCACUGCACCCUCCAACCUUGAAGUGAACCUUGCUUUCUCUUCCUCACUUUACAGAGCGACGAGCUGCCUGGUACCAUCAAUGUACCUCCAAAGUAUGGAACAUCGGUAGAUUAUAAAUAUUCUUGUUCAUCUACGGCAUAAGUCUGUUCUUCCACACUUUCAGCAAUAUUUACUCUGACGAUGAUAGAUAGUAAUCAUUCAAACACAACCACCACCAUUACUACUUCUACUACUACUACUACUACUACUACUACUACUACUACUUUUUUUUCUCUUUCUCACAGUAAGUAUAACGGUCAGGCGCUGCUCGUUCCGAUCUUUGAAGACGCCCCUUCCUCACACGUGGUAGUUGGUUGUAUCCAGUGAUUCCCUUUGAUAGCAAGUUUGUUGGCACAGCUUUUCGCGACUAUCAUUUUGCCCUGUUGCACGCAUAGGAUAGAUGCAACAUGAGUGGAAGAACAUAUGUGCGUUCCAUGUUGUUUACAAGAGUGGAGAGAAUUUUGUCAAAUUUCGUGUAACCAUUUAUGCGCGAACGAGCAAAUUUUUAACUGCGUUUUCAGGUCGGAUCUUGUCAUUUUAUCAUUCACAGGCAUCGUGAUACAUUCAUUAACAUGUUGAUAUCCUUAUACUUCAUGCAAGUCAUAUUAACCUUUCUUUACGAAGCCCUGAGUUACUGAGUGGUUACGGGCUGUGGUUGCAGCUAAUGCCACUGUGUGAAAGUCCUAUUUUGAAACUUAAGUUGUGGCAGCUGAAUGCGCUAACUAGCAAUUACCAAAGUAGUUGUCAGUUGUGGAAGACCUUAUUGUUGUGCCGAAAAAUUGCUGCAAUUGAUUGCUUUUACUAGUUGCCUUGGUAGUGGUUUAAUAUUUAGCUCAGGCAUCAUCUUGUGCUUUGCUUGAGUUUAGCGCAGUUAGCUCGUAAAACUAAUGCUUCGUCAUCUCACCAAAUUAUUUGGUGUACGCAAAUGUGUAGGAUCACUAAAGCACAACGACCAUAGAAACCUUCACCAACUGUUAGUGGAACGUGGCUACAGGAGCACCUAUGAAUUUUUCCUUCUUUGAUUGUGUAAGCGCGCAACCUGCUGCUGUUGCUGCUGGUGUUUCAUCCUUCUCAGUAAUUUCUGAUUUCAUCAUCAGUCGUAAUGAUGAAGCGUGAAAAUUUCAUAUGCUCAGUGUGUGUGUGUGUGUGUGUGUGUGUGUGUGUGUGUGUGUGUGUGUGUGUGUGUAUGUGAAAUCAUGCUGCAGGCUAGGUUAGGUUAGGUGGGCGCUUUGGUCAAUGAAGAGUUAUGGAAGUGCUUCUUUUUAUUCCAUCAGUUGUUGACUGCUAAAUGUGUUUACUUAGCGAUAACUUUUUGUUUUAUAAUGUAUGUUAUGAUUAAAGAUCAAUGAAAAAAAGAGAAAAAAAAAAAGAAAGUUCGGGAUUUUUGGAAGAGCAAUACGCAAUGCACCCCCACGUAGCAUGUGUGUGCGUCACCUGGGGCAAACAUGUCGUAAGUUGGCCAGGCAUGAUGCUACAGUAUUAGUUGGAAUGGGUGAACACCAUUACUUUCACCCUCCACGCACUAUCACCACCGUCAUCAGUAGCACUGUUGCCUGCACAGUAAGCCGUCAUUUUCAACCUUAUUUUCAUGGCAACAAAGCUUAUACACUGUAUCCUACCGAACAUAGUUGCUGUGGGAUUCUCCUCCGUUAUAAUUGCAUGAUAUGUUGAUGGUUUAUUUAACACAGUAAUAUUUGUCGUCACAAUUUAAGGUACGUACCUACAAAGUGCGAAAACCUUCCUGGCAAGAUUGCUUUACCUCUACCGUGGCGCAAUCACCGCCAGGUCGCUAUUCAGAACUGAAUGAGUCAUGUUGGACAUUACACAUUUCCUGUACACAGAUGUUCCGCUAAAGAAGUAUGCAACUCAAAUAUCUAAGAAUCCUCACAGGAGAGAUACAAGAAAUUUCUACCUACUCGUAGAAACAAAUUAACAACCAGAGUGGCAGUAAGUGGACGGCAUGGCCUGGGACAGAGCUGAUGAAGUCAUGGCUUUCCGGUUUUUUAUGUCAUCAUCGAUUACUUUGAGCAAUUUGACUUACCUUGCACAUAUCCACCCGAGUGAUGACUUUACAGAAGUGGAUAUACAUACAUAUGUGGAAUCAUUAGCUCUAGUCUCGGUCAAUGUAUAUUUUUGUAGAAACCCUUUGUAUAAAUUAUAUUUAACUUUUUGGACACGACAGUCGCUAAUUUGUCUCCGAGCUGAGUAAAAUUAACAGAAAAUUCCCAAUAUAGAAAUGUGAUUAAUUCUGCCACCCACUAGUGCAGCAAAAAGUAGAUGUGGACAUCUACAGUUUCGGUCAAGUUUUUGCUGCCCCAAUGAAGCCAUGCAACAAUUAGGUUUUAUCGAUUUUUGGGUAAAAUUCUCUCUCUCUCUCUCUCUCUCUCUCUCUCUCUCUCUCUCUCUCAGAACAUAACACAUAAAAACAAUCGUGUGAACCAGCCAGGUAUGAAGCUUCAAACUUUCAGGAACACUUGAUUCGCGUUAUUGUUUGGAUGCUUGUACUGUAUAUUCCAGUAACAUGGUUUACUGUCUCUACUGUAGUGAAUUAUAUUGAUGUGAACUCAUUUUGUAUGGUAAAUCACAGUUUUAUGUGCUACAUCGACAGAUGUAUUUCUGGAUAAGUUAUUUGAAUCAUAUCUCAAAUCGUUAUGGCGCACCUCAAUCCUCAUAGAAGUUCAUAGAAGUCUCCUACAAACUCUACUUAUAUUUUAGCAGUGAAACGGUGUCUUAUUUAUGAUUGUACGAAUACAUUUUAUUAUGUUUCUUCUAUAGUACUUCGAAGAUUUAGGUAUUUUAUCCCCAAUGGUUUAGUUUGAAUGCAUUGAUGUGAUACGGAAAAAAAAUCGGUCCUCUCUGAGGAAGACAUAUCUGAAUCGAAUCACAACCGAAUCGUUUUAGGAAAGGAUUCCGAUCAAAUUUUGUUUCCAGUUUACUAUUCAACCCUCUUGUCAGAAUGAUUCUUAGUGCUUAUAGUUUUAUCUCAUUUAUUGGCUACUGCAGUACCCAAUGACUAGAACGUCGCCAUUUCUGUAGGGAAUCCGGAGGAGAGUGCAAGUGACAUUGAUUAGGUACGACGGAGAAAUCAAGAUUGGGGUAUGGAUGUUCAUAUUAUAGAAAGUAUUACUUGUUAGUUAUACCCAAGUGAGUGGAACGUCGCCAUUUCUAUAGAGGAUCUUGAGAUAGUGGAAAGACCAGAACACAUUGAAGGGAAGAAGGACCUAUCAAACUAUACAAAGCGGAAGAGGUAACAAGAAUUGUGAGAAGUGUUAAGGUCUAUCCACACCAGGAAACAUAGUUUUGGAAACAGCUUGCAAACUGGUACCAAAUGGACAAUGAGAAAACCAAGAAAGUAUUCUGCACUCUAAGAGAUUGGCUGCCUGAGGGAGUCUAAACAGUGUCAAGCCUACAAGAGCAGCUGCAUUGUAGGAAGCUGGCUGCCUGAGGGAGUCUGAAUGUCAAGCCUACAAGAACAGCUGCAUUGCAGGAAGUUGGCUGCCAGAGGGAGUCAAUGUCAAGCCUACAAGAGCAGCUUGGGAUAUACUUACAUGUUUUUUUUUUUUUUUUUUUUAAACCACCAAACUUGAGAAUAAAUCCAUAGUGCAGAACAAAUCAACCUCAUCACAAAAGCACCUGGAAACUUCACGUCUGCAACCUGGUCAAGUCUGCGACCUACAAACUACACCUUCUCCGGCGACUCAAGACCCUGGGAACCCCCGUUGGUGAGCUAGCAGGAGUGUAUUCUUGCUUUAUCCUGCUGAAGCUCACAUAUGCAUCCCCUGCAUGGUCUAGCUCACUGAUCCCCUCACCCAGCGCCCCCAACUGGAGACAGUACAAAAACGGGCAUGUCGGCUGAUCUUGGGUAGCAACUAUACCAGCUACCAAGACGCCCUGAAGCUCAACACCCUGCAGGACCGCCACAAACUACUCUUGGAACAGAUGGGCUGCCGGCUGCUGCACCACCCCCGCCACCACCACCUCCCCACUGCACCGCGUCCUCGUACCUCGGUGAGGCACGCCAACACACUCGUGCCCAUCAGAGCCAGAACUGACCGCUACAAAAAGAGUCCUGUGCCAGCCAUGGUACAGGCAAUAAACACACUAACAAACUGCAUUCGUUUAUUCUUGUAUAAUAUUAAGUUAUUCUUGUAUAAUAUUUAGUGUUUGUUUUGUUUUCCAGUUUGUACAAAUACAUCCAACCCUUUCCUGUAAAUUUUCAGCCUUUGGGCUGCAAUGUCUAAUAAACUGUAUUAUUAUUAUUA